AUCGAACGCUGGCGGCAGGCUUAACACAUGCAAGUCGAGCGGGGUGAUGGUGCUUGCACUAUCACUUAGCGGCGGACGGGUGAGUAAUGCUUAGGAAUCUGCCUAUUAGUGGGGGACAACAUCUCGAAAGGGAUGCUAAUACCGCAUACGUCCUACGGGAGAAAGCAGGGGAUCACUUGUGACCUUGCGCUAAUAGAUGAGCCGAAGUCGGAUUAGCUAGUUGGUGGGGUAAAGGCCUACCAAGGCGACGAUCUGUAGCGGGUCGGAGAGGAUGAUCCGCCACACUGGGACAGAGACACGGCCCAGACUCCUACGGGAGGCAGCAGUGGGGAAUAUUGGACAAUGGGGGGAACCCUGAUCCAGCCAUGCCGCGUGUGUGAAGAAGGCCUUAUGGUUGUAAAGCACUUUAAGCGAGGAGGAGGCUCUUUUGGUUAAUACCCAAGAUGAGUGGACGUUACUCGCAGAAUAAGCACCGGCUAACUCUGUGCCAGCAGCCGCGGUAA
rnacentral:rRNA from 1 species